UUAACAUGAUGAAGAAACUAUAACCAGUUCUGCUACUGAGCGUUCUUGAAGAUAAACCAAACUUACCAAAACUUCUGAUUG
rnacentral:snoRNA from 1 species